rnacentral:rRNA from 1 species
CGUACGGGAGGCAGCAGUGGGGAAUAUUGCACAAUGGGGGAAUGCUGGACGCAGGGAGAAAGCGUGAGGGAUCCAUGCCUUCGGAUUGUAAAAUUUUCAGUAGGGAAGAAUCGAUGGGGAGGGAUGGUAAUGACGGUACUGCANANAGCCCNNANNNU